rnacentral:piRNA from 1 species
ACCCAAAGCUGAAAUUCUUAUUAAA